CAAUAUUACUAAUUGCACCUUAUAUUAAAAAAAUAAAUUAAAACAUCAUUUAUUGCUACACCAUGUCAUUGACGCCACUACUGCCAUCACAUUUCAUGCACUAGUUUGACGGCUCAAAUAAGAGAUUUCACAAAUAAGUUCAAAUAAUAGAUUUUAGGCCUUUUUUUCCUGUACCACCUCUUUUUUUUCAGCACUCCCAUAAAACUUGAUAUCUCCAUUUUAUCCUUUAUUAAAUUAUAGUAAAAACCCUAAAUUAUAAUCUUCCGGUAUCUCCUUCCUCUUCUUCCACGUGUGCCGCAAAACACCUCCAUUUCCAUCUUCAAGCUUCUUCAUGCACCAUUCCGGAUUGCUCAAUCCGGAGAACAUUCGUGCACCAAUGGUAUGUGUGGAGGCGAAUGGAGAGCGACGCUUCGACGGAGUGGCGAAUGCGGAGGGAGUGGAGGAGCAGCAGCAACGCCUAAUUUCCGGCGAUGAGAAGGUGUUGCAAUGUAUAUUAUGCCAUUGCCUAAGAUCGUUUGGUGUAUCUUUUAGGACACUUUGAUGACCCUCAAAUGAAGGUUUAGUUCAUCUCUACCAGAAAUAACAAGAGUUGUAUUGAAAUGGACAAGAAAUUUGAUAUGAUCAAGGAUAUCUGGGAAGAAAGAAACCUUGAAACUAGCUCUUACAAUAAGAGACUUGUGAGACUUGUGAGACUUGUGGUUUGUUCAGAAUCGGGAUGUCAAUCGUGAUAUGGAGCCGAUACUUUUGGAUCACAAGGUAAAUGAAAUGUAGUGUUGUUUUCUUUGAUGAAAUGUAUUGUUGUUUUCUUUGAUGAAAUUUGGUAUGCAAUGUUAUCUCAAGUGACUUCAUUAAAUGA